ACUCGGGCGGAGAGGCGGCGACCGCGAGAGGACGUCGUAGUUCCGCGGCACAUCGGCGCGAAAGCGAAAGAAGCAGUUGUCUGCAUUGUUUUGCGCGCGUCUGUCGACCUGCUUCGUUUUCCGACGUCGUAAAAUGGAGAGACAAAGGAAGAUAGCUGCUCUGAAGCUGCUCAUCAUUCUCAAGAGACGGCGGGCUUUCCUGAGAAAGUAUUGGGUCCGGCCGACAUGGACAGAGCGAGCGGACGACAGCGAGUUUUUCACGGCGAUGAAACACGUGAAGAACGGUGACGAGUCGCUGUUCUACAUGUACUACCGGAUGUCGCCGGAUACCUUUGACAUGCUGCACGGCUUGGUGCGAAAGGAGCUGACAAAGGAUAAAUGCCCAUCGAGGGAGCCCAUUUCUUCUGGCGAGCGCCUAGCGCUGACUUUGCGGUAGGACCAAUUUGACUGCGUAACCGUGCCUGUACAGCUUUUCAUUUGUCAGGAAGUCUCUGUUCGUGAUGUGCGGUCGUUGUACAUACUUCGAAGUAUUGUGCAGCGCAUGCAUGGAUUGCACGCACGUCUUGACACACUUCCCCGCGUUUGCACGUUGAGAUUUGUAUUACAGGUUCCUGUCCUCUGGUAUGCUGGUGAGGGACGCAGCCAUGGCAUUCCGUGUGGGCAUCGAGACGGCACGAAACGUCAUCAGCGAAACCUGCACUGUGCUGUGGGAGGUUUUGUCCCCUGGAUACAUGAAGACACCAACAGAACAAGACUGGCGAGAAAUCGCCGAUGGGUUCUGGAGCCGUUGGCAAUUCCCAAAUUUCCUGGGAGCAGUCGACGGCAAGCAUAUCCAGAUCAAGUGGCUCCGCAACGCUGGAAGUAUGUACUUCAAUUACAAGGUAUGCAACAGGAAAUUGCAUCAUUGCAUGUGGCAUGUUUGCUGCUGUAGGGUCAUCUAUUUUUUUAUGAAUAGGAGAGGAUAGGCUGAGACUUUAAACAAGAGUAUUGCGAAUCUAUGCCUAAUGCAUUCAAAGCAGGUUACAGACCAAAAUUUUCACCUGAUAUUUUGUCUACUUAUUACUAUCACUAUUAUUUACAAAUACUGCUAUCUCAGUUAUUGAGACAUACCAGGAGUGGAUACAAAUGUUCAACACAAUAAACAAAAAUACAUGAUUAUGCAACUCUUUUUCAAAUUGCUGAGCAUAGAGUCUGCGCAGAGACCCAUCAAGCUCAUUCCAUAGAUCCACGGUCCACGAAAAAAGGAAAACUUAGAACAAUUAAGAAAAUUCGGCAGAUCCCACGUACCGUGGGAGUCGAUGUUAUGCGAAGCCUGCGGCGGGUAGGUGACUGUGGCGUAACUUUUUUUACUGAGCGACAAGUUACAAAAUGACGCUAAAGAUUUGUGUAAUUUUUAUACACACAUAUAUAUGUUGAAGGGCCGCAUAUGUGUUAUAUAACCAGUUGUUUACGGUUGGGCAACGCUGCCAAUGGCAACGUGGGUAUUACCAACACCAGAAGCUGUAAGCUGAUAUGUAGUGCAAAUAGGUGUCCCGAGAAUGCACGCACGUUUCACGAACCCGUGUGCAUGUGUGCAAGAAGUUCUUGACAGUUGUUGAACAAGGGCAUCAUCACCAUGAUCAGUGAGCACCAGCAGCUGGUCAUGACUUUUUAUAGGAUCCGGUCGUCAUCGUGGUGACGAGGGGUCCAUGGGUAGUAAAGUAUGUGGUAUAGCAGAGCUGUUGGAAUUCAUGGAUGCCUCGGUCAUUUCGUCGACAAAUUGUCUGUCGACAGAGCCGGCGACAUGUCGGAACCCGAAGUCACCCUUCGCGUUGGUGAGGUAUAGGCCGUCGAUGCUGGUAGGCCUGCAUAGUGCUACGUGGACCAACAUCAGUGGAUGGUGUUUGUCGUAUUCGUAGACUACUUGGGCGUAUGUGGCCUACCUAGCCUAGUCUACAAAUGGCUUUCAAUCAAUCUGGCAUCAUCCUCGGUCAGCAUGAGGCCAUCGCCCAGCCUCGUAAGCAAUGAAGAGGACAUUGUGUCGUUCUGGUGGACAAAGUGCACUUUACGAUGCGUUGAUGUGGAUAUCACAUGUAACGUUUGUUAAUGUAUUCCUCCGGGGUCGAGCAAUGCUUCAAUAUAGCUUGCUGAAUCAUAGGAAUACAGGCGUAAUGUUUAUUAGAGUGCUAUAAAAGCGGAGCCAACACAUGUAACUACAGACGUUAAUCUGAUAUGAUGCCUGCAUCGUAGGAGUACACAUCGUAGGAGUAACAUGUAGUGUUUAUUCCUUUCUUGUAAAAUUAGAUAGCCAGCACCACAACCACAAUUGACGUUGCACCGAUAUUAUGCCUGCGUAGGCUGUUUUUCCAAACCAAUUUAGAGACCUGGCGUGGCUCAGUGGUAGAAUACCUGAUUGCCACGCAAAAUGCUUGGGUUCGAUUCCUGCUGGGAUCCUUAUUUUCAUUCUUUCCAUUCGUUGAGUCAACGCUGCCGAUGUUGGUUUUCCUUAACGCUCUAGCAUUUAUGUCUGUUGUCGCCGUUCCUGAGUAGAUAUAAACUGACAAUCACCAGUGGCGCAUACCCGUACACCGCGGCCCGUGGUAAACGGGUAUAUGCCACACGUGUCUAGUGGAAAGAGUUUGACGACGUACGCGACAUGAUUUUAACGUUAUUCAUGUCAUGACCCGGCAAUCAUAUUCGUCAAAUCCUCUUACCCUCCCAUGCAAAUUUUGGUCUACACCAA